AUGUCUGCUCCACUGGGCUGCUGCUGCAAGCUUUCAUGUUUGGCUCUUGCAACAUUGUUUCAUAUUUGUAUGCUCUAUUUUCCUGUUCAGUCAUUUUGGUCUUUAUAUAUGGCUUGUGUUUGUGGGGAUCUUAUUCAAUCAAAGGUUAUAAGAUAUAUUACACUGCCUUUGUUGUUUCUCAUAUAUAUCUUACAUAGAUCACUAUAUGAAAAACUUAACCUUAUGAGGUCGCGGUUAUGUUAUGUGUUGACUACAUAUAUAGUUAGUUCUACAAAUCAGGGCAUUGAACUUCCAAAGUCAGGUUGGAUGUAG
rnacentral:rRNA from 1 species